UCCUGCAUAAUGAAACACAUGCUUAUGACAAGAGCUAGGAGGAGCUUACGGAACAGGAGAGAGCAGUUUGUCUUUCCAGUGUGGUACAAAGUAGGGGAUUGUGGAAGAUGACAAAUCAUAACCUUGUUCUUUUUUGGCAUCAGCUGCAGUGGACACUACUCAAAAAGAGCACUGAAAGCAGCAAAUCCCAUGUGUGGACUCUGAUCACAACUAGCAGGCUGCUGAGAAAGAAACAGGUUCAGAUGCUGAUCUUGCAUGUGCCAGGGUAAAUAGAAUGUCUCCUUGCCAGCUCCAAGGUUUAAACUGGUAGCCUGCUUGAAUUUUGUUAUGCUCUGUGUGGUUUGUGGUUUAUUGCUUCCCGUGGUUUGUGAAAAAAGACACCGGGACUAAGGAGUGA